rnacentral:rRNA from 1 species
UACGAAGGGGGCUAGCGUUGCUCGGAAUUACUGGGCGUAAAGGGAGCGUAGGCGGAUAGUUAAGUCAGAGGUGAAAGCCCAGGGCUCAACCUUGGAAUUGCCUUUGAUACUGGCUAUCUUGAGUAUGGGAGAGGUGUGUGGAACUCCGAGUGUAGAGGUGAAAUUCGUAGAUAUUCGGAAGAACACCAGUGGCGAAGGCGACACACUGGCCCAUUACUGACGCUGAGGCACGAAGGUCAGGGGAGCAAACGGG